rnacentral:lncRNA from 1 species
UGGCGUUGGGUGGGGUGAAGGGGAUGGUUAAAUGUUUUCAGGUGGUCCGUUAACUGUGGCAUAGAAGGAGAAUACUUUUGAUGUUUCAGGCCUCUCAAGCUCUGCCCAUCCUCCAUUUCUCUAAUUGAAGUCCAAAGAAGGAUUUUGUGGAAGUUAGAGAAUCCCAAGCAAGUAAACUGACAUCAACUACACUCUUCACAGAACUAUUUUUUUAAUAUUAUGUUUCAAAAAGAAUCAUUGUCUUGUGGCUCCUUGUUACUGUAUCUAGGACCAGCUUAAGCGUCGGUGCCACAAUAGGUAUGAUCUCACAACUAGAUAACCUGACAAUUGUGCUGCCUAGAUCAAAUAGGAAUUUCCACAAGAGAUGCCAUCCACUAAACAACUCCAAGGUCUUUGAAUGACUCAAAGUUGCAUCAUGGACUCUGCACCUAAUGAUAUCAGCCAACAAUUCUACUAACAUAUUCAUCCAUUUCACAGGCCCUAGACCGAUUCAUUUAUGGAAGAACUCAAGCAAACAGCACGUCAUCAAUCAGACAAAUAGGCAGUGUGUAAGCAUAACAUGAGAC